rnacentral:lncRNA from 1 species
GUCUAAACAGACAGUGUAGUCUAAACAUUAUUGUCCUGUUAUAUUAUCUCUAUAAUGGUUCAAAGAUGUUGGACAAUUUUGUGCAAGUGAGCUGAAUUAUAGAGCUUGUGAUGCUCACCUUGGUCUAUAUAUACAUAUUCAACAACCAGAUGCUCAGCAGGGCACAGCUUUAUACGACCGCAGUGGUCGAACCCUGAACAGUUUGGGCAAGUAUGG